CAAGGUAUUGUAGCAGCUAUUGCCAUCGGGACUAGCUAACAGUCGUGGGUCGUGGGUAGAAUGUCGUGGGUCGUGGGUAGAUUGUCGUGGGUCGUGGGUAAAAAGUCGUGGGUCGUGGGUAAAAAGUCGUAAGUCGUGGGUAAAAAGGCGUGGGUCGUGGGUAAAAAGGCGUGGGUCGUGGGUAAAAAAUCGUGGGUCGCGAAUAAAAAGUCGUGAAUUCCAAGCAAAAUAUUUCCAUAUAUUUACCUUUCUCCCUUUGAAUGCGUAUUUUUUUUUCUUCUCAGGCUUUCCCAAACUAUGCCCAAAUAUGCAUAGCUUCGAGCGCGUUAAGGCCGGGUUUUUCGGAUAUCGGCAGAUCGGUUUAUAAAUAUUAUAACCAAGUGUGGAUGAAACAGUUCAACUUCACGCCCCAUAUAGUUCAAAUAUUUGGACGUUAUAAUCUUAUAGACAGAUAAAUUAGUUACUGCAAUUCUUCAAUAAGAAUAUGGCUCAAGGCCACAUGUACGAAAGCUGAGUAGCACUAUCCACUCGAUAUUAUAGUCAAAUUUUUAUAACCGGCAAUGGCAUCAUAUGUUUUCAAAGCUAUAUAUGGAACUGCGGAGUAUAGCUAACCAUUUAAUUAAUGAAAUAAUAUGACAUUCGACUUAUAUAUGGUCUUCAUGUAUAUACUAUACAAAGAAUUCGAAGAUGGCCGGUCUGCAAAAUAGUGAUGCAUCGAUAAUUUUGUUGUUGAUAUUACCGACAUCGUCGUAAACAUUACAAGAAAAUAUAUCUCUAGACCAACCAAAGUUGCUGUUAUUUAAAACUGCUGAAGUCUAUCCUAAACGAUUUCUGAAAUAUCGCAAACUACAAACGGAACAAACCUUGCAUGUAAACAAUGCUAGCUAAUGCUACUCCGGCUGUUAUUAAAUAAGCGCUGUGAAAUUUCCAAAUUCCAACUUGCCAUUGACUUCGCUGAAACUUGAUGCUCAAGAAAUAUGUAGAAGUAUACCUCUCUGUUAUCAAACCUACGGUAAAAUAAUCCGACAAAAGCAGUGGCGGCGCCAGGCUUCCAAAUUUGGGGGGGCAUUUGAGGGGCAAACUCAAAUUUUGGGGGGGCAAGAUAGAAUUUUUAAAAAGGUCGCCCCCCCAGGAAAUUCGCCCCCCCCCCUCAAAACGUGGCGAUAUUCCUAGGAA